rnacentral:rRNA from 1 species
GAUGAACGCUGGCGGCGUGCCUAAUACAUGCAAGUCGAGCGAACGGACGAGAGGCUUGCUUUUCUGAUGUUAGCGGCGGACGGGUGAGUAACACGUGGAUAACCUACCUAUAAGACUGGGAUAACUUCGGGAAACCGGAGCUAAUACCGGAUAAUAUUUUGAACCGCAUGGUUCAAAAGUGAAAGACGGUCUUGCUGUCACUUAUAGAUGGAUCCGCGCUGCAUUAGCUAGUUGGUAAGGUAACGGCUUACCAAGGCAACGAUGCAUAGCCGACCUGAGAGGGUGAUCGGCCACACUGGAACUGAGACACGGUCCAGACUCCUACGGGAGGCAGCAGUAGGGAAUCUUCGACAAUGGGCGAAAGCCUGACGGAGCAACGCCGCGUGAGUGAUGAAGGUCUUCGGAUCGUAAAGCUCUGUUAUUAGGGAAGAACAUAUGUGUAAGUAACUGUGCACAUCUUGACGGUACCUAAUCAGAAAGCCACGGCUAACUACGUG